UUACUGCUAUCGAGGUUCGACUAAGCCAUGCGAGUCGAAUGUAGCAAUACAUGGCGUACUGCUCAGUAACACGUGGAUAACCUACCCUUGAGAUGGGAAUAAACCCGGGAAACUGGGUAUAAUACCCGAUAGAUCUCGACUGCUGGAAUGCAUCGAGAUCCAAAGCUCCGGCGCUCAAGGAUGGAUCUGCGGCCUAUCAGGUAGUAGUGGGUGUAGCGUACCUACUAGCCUACGACGGGUACGGGUUGUGAGAGCAAGAGCCCGGAGAUGGAUUCUGAGACACGAAUCCAGGCCCUACGGGGUGCAGCAGGCGCGAAAACUUUACAAUGCUGGAAACAGCGAUAAGGGGACCUCGAGUGCCAGGUUACAAAUCUGGCUGUCGUGAUGCCUAAAAAGCAUUGCAUAGCAAGGGCCGGGCAAGACCGGUGCCAGCCGCCGCGGUAACACCGGCGGCUCGAGUGGUAACCGUUAUUAUUGGGUCUAAAGGGUCUGUAGCCGGCCGGAUAAGUCUCUUGGGAAAUCUGGCAGCUUAACUGUCAGGCUUUCAGGAGAUACUGUCUGACUCGAGGCCGGGAGAGGUGAGAGGUACUUCAGGGGUAGGGGUGAAAUCUUGUAAUCCUUGAAGGACCACCAGUGGCGAAGCGUCUCACCAGAACGGACCUGACGGCAAAGGACGAAAGCUAGGGGCACGAACCGGAUUAGAUACCCGGGUAGUCCUAGCCGUAAACGAUACUCGCUAGGUGU
rnacentral:rRNA from 1 species